rnacentral:tRNA from 1 species
AUGUAGCCAAGUGGAUUAAGGCAGU